AUGGUAAUAUCCAGGCCUUGGUUCCCUCUUCUCCUUACUGAUGUGCAAAUCUUUAGCAUUAAAGGAGAGGACUGUACGGGACACAGAGCGUAUCAAGUGUGUGUCCUCACAGGAGUUUGGAUGCUGAUGGUGUUGCCAGCUGGCCUCAGGAGUGAGAGCCCCCAGUUUGGCCCGUUACAGGUAAGAGAGCUUGGAGCGUCAUUUGUAUGUCUGAGGCCGGGAAAGCCAGGCUUUUCUCAGAAUUCCCAGAAAGAGGGUGCAGAGCCCACUAUGAGGUGUGAGGUCUGGACUGGGUAGACACUUUGUCGGCACACUACCUGGCACUCAGUCUCUAAGGCUCAUAAAUAACAGUGAUUCUAAGGUGGGAUUGAGAAGGACAAAGAUAUUUUAUCAUUGUGUUAGUUGGGGCUCUCUAGGGAAACAACCAAUAGGACACAUGCAUGCACAUGUGUACACUGUGUGUGUGUGUGUGUGUGUGUGUGUGUGCAGAAAGAGUUGAGAUUGCUUUUAUUUAAUACGUUGGUUUGAAUGAUCGUGUGGGCUGACAAGUCCAAACUGUAUAGGUUUGCAGACUUGAAAGUCCGGCGGGUUUCCAGUUGUUGCAAGUCCCAAGGCAGAUUUCCUUCUUGGGGAAACAUCUGGUGUUGCUCAUAAGGCCCUCACUUGAUGAGGUUCAGCCAUACUGGUGACGGCACUCCCCUUAAAGUCAACUAACUGUGCACGCUAUCUGUGUUUACAAAACACUUUUCCCGGCAAGGAGAUUAAACAUCCAAUAACAUUGGGUCACUUCACGCCAUGGCCUGGUCAGGUUGACAUGGAAGACUGAGGGUCACAGCCCACCCAGCCUUAACUUGGCACCCACACAUCCCUUUAGCCAUAUGUAAUCUCCAAAUGAAGAGAAUACCUAAGUCAUUUUCCUCCUAGCAUGGCACAUCUCUCCAGUGUACAAUUCAAACCACACAAAAACUCUCCCAACGAGGAUUCAAGGUUCUUGGGGGAAGUCCACUCUUUUCUUUGAUAUCCUGUAACUUGCAUACUAUGAUGUGAAGUUAACUAUUCUCAAUGCAUCUAUAUUUUGCCACGUGACGAAAUGAGAUUAGAUGAGAUGAGAAGAUAAGGAAGGGAAGAAAAGAAAUUUAUUUGAUAGGCAUACACACAGUCUAUAGGGGAGGAAGACGUCCUGGGGUGGGUCCUGGGUUGUGGCUUCUCUGCAAGGCACUGGAAAGUAGUCUGUUUCCGGACAGGCAUGUGGGAAGGGGAUCAUGUUGACAAACCUCUGUCCUCUUGCAGCACCAGUACCAACUCUGGUGCCUGCUCCACCCCAGCUCCAGAGCUAGCACCACUUUCAUUGCCAGCUCCUGUCCAGCACCCGUACCAAAUCUGGAGUUAGAGUCAUUUUUGGCACCAGCCCAACAGCUAGAUAUGGUGCCAGGUGACAAGUCCAGCACUAGUGCAUGCGACAGUUCCAGAGCUGGAGCCAGUACCAGCUCCAGUGCCACUUCCAGAUUCAGAGCCAGUGCCAGUUGCAGACACGGAGCCAGCUUGAUCACCAGAUAUGGUAUCAAAUCCAGAGCUGGUGUUCUAACCUAAGCUCCUGUAAAAGCCCUAGAACUCUAGCCAGCUCCAGAACAAGUUCCAGCCAGCUUCAGGGCUAGAACCAGGUCCAGCUCCAGCUUUGUCACACAACUGCAGAGAUAGAGGCAGCUCUGCCAACAUCCUUGCCAGCUCCAGUGCCAGCCAGCUCUAGAGUUUGGAUCAGACCCCACAUAAAUUCCAGAUUAACAGAUGACAGAAACGAACUGGGGCCUGCUCCAGUAUUAGCGCUGGCAACACAGCUGGAGCUACAGGCAGCUGUAGAGCUAGAGCCAUCUCUAGAGCUAGUGCCAGCGCCAGAACUAGCUUCAGCACCAGCUCAAGAGCUUGAGGGAGCUCCCGAGCCAGCUCCAGCCAAAGCUCCAGACUCAGUCAAUGCUACCACCAGCUUCUGCACCUGAUCCCCUGCUAUAGCCGGUUCCAUUCUCAGCUCUAGCAACAGAGUUCAGGCCAGCUCCACAGCUAAGGUUAACUCCUGCUCUGACACUUGCAUCAACUCCGGAGUUAGACGCAGCUUUUUUUUUUUUUCUUUUUUGCCAACUCUAGUGCCAGCCCAGUGAUAGUUCUAGUGCCCACUUGAGAGUGAGAAUCAGCCUGAAGCGCAUUCAGAGGCAGUGCCAGUUUCCAAGGAAGAGCUCGCUCCAGCACCUGUUCUAGCAUUGGCUCCAGAACUAGAGUCAGCACCAAGAUCAGAGCUAGAGGCUACACCAGCAACUGUUCUUGUACCAGGUCCGGAGCUGGAGUUCUCACAAGUGCCAACUCCUGCACCAGCUCCAGAGUGAAAGCCUGCACGGACACCAACCAGUAGCAGACUUAGAUCCAGUGUCCCCUCAAGAGAAAAGAACCGGCUUCAGCACCCACCUCAAAGCUAGAUCAUGCUCUGGCAUGAGCUAUACACCAACUCCUGGGCCAGAUCCUGUCCCUGCUCUCGUGUUAGCCUCUGCCCUGAUGCCAACCUCAUCGGUGGAGCCUGCAAAGAGCUACAACCAGCUCUACCACCCAUUUUACCACUGGCUACAGAGCUAGACCUAGGACUGGCUAUACACUAGAGCCACAAGCACCAGAUCUAGCAUGCAAAGCCAGAGUCAGCUCUAACACUAGCUCUCACACUGGUGCAGCUCGUGUACCACUUCCAUGAUUAGAGCCGUCUGUAACUCUAGUGCCAGCUAUAUCACUAGUCCCAGAGCAGUGGCCAGCUUCAAUACAAGAUCCACAGCUAAAGCCCCUCCAGCACCCACUCGGAAGUCGGAGCCAGCUUCAGUGUCAGCUACAGAGCCAGAGCCACAGUGGUAGCUCUAGCUUCAGCACCAGAGGUAGCGUCAGCUCUAGAACCAUAUCCAAAUGCAGAACCAGCUCUAGAUCUUCCAUGGAGGUGGACUCAGCAUUCUCACAGCUCUAACACCUGCCCCGGAGCUAGAGCCAGGUCCAACGCUGAUGCCUGCACCAGCUCCAGAAAUUGGGGCAGCGACAGUCUCAGCUCUCCUGCCAGUUCUGGGAUCAGAUUUCAAUAUUGAAUACGGGGAAACCUGGUCAAAUAAACACACACAUAAGGGUCCCUUUGAAAAUACAUGGGCAGAGACAUAAAGGUACCUGUUAGGUGAAUGUACUUGUAGGAAACAUCCAGAACAGGUGAACAGAGAGAGAAAGCAGCUUAGGGGUUCCAGGUGCUGGUUUGGGUAGAAAUGGGCAGGGAGGGCUUCUGGUUCAGGUGGUCCUUUGGGGAGCGAUGAGGGCUUCUGGUUUGGGAUGUCCUUUCCGCACCUAAGUUCUGUGACAUUGUGUCUUAGCGUUGGAAAUGUACUUAAUGCUCAUGAGUUGCUCAAUUGAAAAUAACUAAAUCUGUUUAAAAUCCAAAGUAGAGAACAGCAGAAAGAAUGUGAAAAAACAAAAACAAAAAGAGACAAAGCAAAAACAAACACAAAAGCAAACAGAAGCCACAAUAGGGGAGAGGAACACUCCACAGAGUGUUGAGUGGGGCAUCGGGCUGAAACCGUGCAUUGGGAGCUGGCAGUGAGGGUAGCUCCAGGGCUGGCGCUCCCUGAGGGCUGCUGGGUCCCAAGCUGGCUCAAUCUCUUCUGCAAAGGGAGGUGCAGAGCUGGCUCCAGGUCCCCAGGUGGUGGAUCCUGCCCUGGCUCUAGCUUGCUUUCUGGAGCCCCUGCAGGAGGCGGGCACUAGAGGCGGAGCUGCUGCUGCAGGAAGCAUGACUCGGACUGAUGGAAAUGCCUGUAGAUCCCGAGCUGGCGUUGCUUCUGCUGCUGCUUCUGGGGCUGGAUCGAGAUCUUCAGAUUGUAGAGGAUCUGUGGCUGCAGCCACCACAAGCUGCUGAGGUGACCAUGAAGCUGCAAGAGGAGAUCAACAUGUCUGCCUUCCAGAAGGGCCUUUCCAGAGUAGGAAUAUCCCACUGCAUUUUCUAGAA
rnacentral:lncRNA from 1 species